rnacentral:rRNA from 1 species
UACGUAGGGGGCUAGCGUUGUUCGGAAUCACUGGGCGUAAAGGGUGCGUAGGCGGGUCUUUAAGUCAGGGGUGAAAUCCUGGAGCUCAACCCCAGAACUGCCUUUGAUACUGAAGACCUUGAGUUCGGGAGAGGUGAGUGGAACUGCGAGUGUAGAGGUGAAAUUCGUAGAUAUUCGCAAGAACACCAGUGGCGAAGGCGGCUCACUGGCCCGGUACUGACGCUGAGGCACGAAAGCGUGGGGAGCAAACAGG